rnacentral:rRNA from 1 species
CGUCGAGUGGCGAACGGGUGAGUAACACGUGGGUGAUCUGCCCUGCACUUCGGGAUAAGCUUGGGAAACUGGGUCUAAUACCGGAUAGGAGCCAUCUUUAGUGUGGUGGUUGGAAAGUUUUUCGGUGUAGGAUGAGCUCGCGGCCUAUCAGCUUGUUGGUGGGGUAAUGGCCUACCAAGGCGGCGACGGGUAGCCGGCCUGAGAGGGUGUACGGCCACAUUGGGACUGAGAUACGGCCCAG